ACUUUAAUUUUGACACGUUACUUUACACCGCUCAAACGAACAUAUCUACACUGUUUCCACCCGAUUUUCCUAGUCUCUACGCUCUGUUUCUUCCUCAAAAUUUCCAUCGCUGCUCACCUCCUCUUACAAUUUCCCUUGUUUCUUUUAGCCUUCUUUCUUCCUGGACAGUUUAUUCGCCUUGAUUUACAGUUAUACGGUUGCAAAAGUGAUUGGCUGACACUUACAAAACUUAAAUUUCUUCGUGAAUGGAUCACCAACAAAAAAGAAAACAACCUUGCAUAACAACAAAAACUCAUGAUAAGAAUUCCAAGCGGCGUGAACUGUAUCGUGACAUGGCCACGACUAAAAAGAACGCACUUCUGCUGCAACGCCGCCUCAAAAAGAGAGAGGCAACAACUAAUCGUCUUCUUGGAAGUAGAAAAUCUAUCAAUCUUGCUGAAUCAAUGUCUGCAAUUCAGGAAAAUGUUAUUGUUGGAGGCUCUUGUUCUAUUUCAAAAAUAGGUUCGACAUCAAGUACUUCAGGUAAAUCGAGUGCUCCAACUACUGAAAUAGUUCUGGUCGAUGGUGCUUUCUUUGUCGAUGGUCCAGGAGGAACUGAAAAAACUUUUUUAUACCGUGCUUUAUUGGCAACUGUACGAUCUAUAAGAUAUAUAGCUUUGACAACAGCUACUUCAGGUGUUGCUGCUUCUAUUCUCCCGGGUGGACGUACUGCACACUCGCACUUUAAAAUUCCUAUUGAUAUUGAUGAACAUUCCAGUUGUAACAUUAGCAAACAAAGUGCACUAGUAGGUUUAAUACGAGAAGCAAAAUUGAUUAUAUGGGAUGAAGUAUGGCAAUAAAAGAAUGCUAGAAGUUUUUGAUUUGCUUUUAAAAGAUCUUAUGAAUACAAAUGUUUUAUUUGAUGGGAAAGUCGUUGUUUUAGGAGGUGACUUUAGAGAAACUCUUCCUGUUGUGCGAAAUGGAAAGAAAGAAGAUUUCAUCAAUGAAAGUUUGUUAUAUUCUAGAAUUUGGUAUGAACUUGAAAAAUUACAACUGUCUAAGAACAUGAGAGCAAAAAUAGAUCCUCUAUUUUAUGAUUAUUUGAUGAGAAUUGGAAAUAGAUAAGAACAAGAUAGCUCAACGAAUUAGAUUAAAUUUCCUGAUUCUUUGGUUAUCCCUUUCACAACCGAAAGAGAAUCUUUAGAUAAGCUAUUCACAGUGACAUAUCCAAAUUUGAAUUCGUUCAACUCCAACACAUUCUGUACAAAUUCUCAUGUAAUUUUGACUACAAAAAAUAAUUUUAUAAAUGAAAUCAAUGACAUGCUUAUUGACCAAUUUCCAGGAAAAGUAAGAACAUUUACCGGCAUUGAUGAGACCAUUGAAUUGAAUAAUUAAACACAAUUUGAAGAUUUAUUACACAGUUUAAAUCCUCCAAGUUUGCCUCCUUAUAAAUUAUCUUUGAAAGAGAAUUGCCCCAAUAUGUUAUUGCGUAACUUAAAUCCAUAUGAAGGUUUAUGUAAUGGCACACGACUGACCUGCUGUGAUUUUAAAACUCAUGUGAUAAGUGCUAAGAUUUCAACAGGUGACUUCAAAAAUACGCAUGUAUUUAUACCGAGAAUACCGUUAUUAUCAUCACAGGAUGAGAAAAUGCCCAUUUCAUUUAAGAGAAUACAAUUUCCAAUAAGAUUGUGCUUUGCUAUGACUAUAAAUAAAGCACAAGGGCAAAUAUUAGAUUUUGUAGGGAUUUAUUUGUGGGAACCUAUAUUUUCGCAUGAUCAACUUUAUGUUGCUUUAUCGAGAGCUAAAAAUUCGAACUGUGUAAAAUUUCUGAUUCGACCACCUACGCCGACAAGCUAUGAUGAUCAUUCUACAUGUAGCAUUGUUUAUGAUGAAAUCAUUCGAAAGGCAGCUAGUUGAUGUUUUUGGCAUAAGAUGAUCUUGUAGGUUUACCGUUCUUUUCGUACUUCAUUAUUCUGUAUAUACAUGUUACCAUGUCUUACUUUUGAUAAAGUAUUUUGCGUAACCUUUUUUCUUUCUUACUCCAGUUGCCAACACAAUAGCUUUCAUCUCAACAAAUGAAGUAAAAGAAAUGUCAAAACGAAGACGCUGGGCAAAUUACUUAACUCGCUAAAAAUCCUUGGAUGGUAUUCCAGUUUUAGUGGUUGAUUAUAACGAACAUGUUAUUGGCUACUCCUGCCAAAAUUCACGGAUUGCUUGACGCUUCAAGUUCUAUGUUUCUUGAUAUUUACCACACAUCAUGUGAUUCCCAUAAAGUAUUUUAGAAGAAUGUCAUGGGGUUGAGCAAAACUAAAGUGAACUUGAAGAGAUUACUUGUAAAUGCACCACAGCAGCAAAAUCAAGCAAAGUUUAUACAUAAUUUUGUUCAUAUUGUGGAUCUUGAAGACAUGAUCCCUGAAAGAAGGGGUAUUACAUCUUUGAAUACAUAAAUGGUAACCUUGGGGUUCCCUAUCUAAAGAUCCAAUCCCUCUUCGUUCACCCAGCACAACAAGAGCAUACUUUCUUGAAUCACAUAAUCUGCAUGUUGGUUCUUAUGUGAAGAAUCGAAAAGAACUUUAUUUAUACGGUAACACAUCCGGUCCCAAGCCCAAAGGAGGAGAGUUUACUAUCUCUUAACAAUCCAGGUACCGCUACUCAGGCCUACCCCCUUGAGGGAGGCGACUGUUUUAGAGACUUCGAGAAGCUUGGAAUGCUCAAGAAGCAAAGCAUGGAACAUACAAGUUCAAUCACCUUGUAUACUCCGAUAGUCAAAGGCAAAAAUGAUGAGGAUAUGAGUGUCCUCUUCAUGGGAUUCGGUAUGGUCUGAAGAACAUUAUUGGCUUUCAAAUCUUUCAAGAAUGAAGUUCUUGAUGUUGAAGCUUGGACUUAUAAGAGGUAUUGAUAUUUAAUGAAUGUAGAGACCGCAUCCAGAAGCGACCUUGUGCAUAUGUUUGUAUAACUUAUAGAUACGGAUGCAAGCUGAAAUCUACUGCUGCAGUUUUUGUUGCAAAAUUGGUCGCUGGUUCUAAAUAGGGAGAGUUUCACGAGCUUCGGGUUGUCCUUGCUAACCAGAGGAUAAAAUUAGAAUUUUAUCAGUUUGACUCAUUGUUUUAAUACCGUGCCAACUGGAUAUCUACAUUCAAAGAGCAGCGCGUGUAGGUUUUGUAAAACCUGCCUGCCAAGUGCCAACACAAGUUUUCUCAGUACAAUGUACUAUUUGCCAACCCUUCUGAUUAUAGUUGAUCCCCUUCUUCAUUUUGUUUUGCCCUGUUCAA